AAUACCGCGUGGUACACCAGUGGGGCAUCCCACGGGUGUUAAAAGGAAGCGAUUCCGGCGGAGGAUGGGCAUGCGGCGCAUUAGCUUGUUGGCGGGGUAACGGCCCACCAAGGCGACGAUGCGUAGGGGUUCUGAGAGGAAGGUCCCCCACACUGGUACUGAGACACGGACCAGACUCCUACGGGAGGCAGCAGUGAGGAAUAUUGGUCAAUGGGCGGGAGCCUGAACCAGCCAAGUCGCGUGAGGGAAGACGGUCCUAUGGAUUGUAAACCUCUUUAGGCGGGGAGCAAUGCCGGGCACGCGUGCCCGGAGGGAGAGUACCCGCAGAAUAAGCAUCGGCUAACUCCGUGCCAGCAGCCGCGGUAAUACGGAGGAUGCGAGCGUUAUCCGGAUUUAUUGGGUUUAAAGGGUGCGUAGGCGGAUUUUUAAGUCAGCGGUAAAAUGUCCGGGCUCAACCCGGGCCGGCCGUUGAAACUGGGGAUCUUGAGUGGGCGAGAAGUAUGCGGAAUGCGUGGUGUAGCGGUGAAAUGCAUAGAUAUCACGCAGAACUCCGAUUGCGAAGGCAGCAUACCGGCGCCCGACUGACGCUGAGGCACGAAAGCGUGGGGAUCGAACAGGAUUAGAUACCCUGGUAGUCCACGCAGUAAACGAUGAAUGCUAGUUGUCCGGUUCUUUGGGACUGGGUGACACAGC
rnacentral:rRNA from 1 species